GUGGUGUGGACGUUUAUUGGGCCUAAAGCAUCCGUAGCUGGCUGAACAAGUCCCCUGUUAAACCCACCGAUUUAAUCGUUGGUCUGCGGGGGAUACUGCUCGGCUAGGGGACGAGAGAGGCAGACGGUAUUUUCGGGGUAGGGGUGAAAUCCUAUAAUCCCGGGAAGACCACCAGUGGCGAAGGCUGUCGGCUAGA
rnacentral:rRNA from 1 species